AUGGUAAAGCGUCUGCUGCAAUUUGGGAGACCCAGGUUCGAUCCCUCAGUCAGGAAGAUCUUCUGGAGAAGGAAAUGGCAACCCACUCCAGUACUCUUGCCUGGAAAAUUCCAUGGAUGGAGGAGACUGGUGGGCUACAGUCCAUGGGGUCGCAAAGAGUCGGACACGACUGAGCGACUUCACUUUCACUUUCUUUUCAUGGAAACCGACUGGCAUGCUUUCUACUCUCAUUUUUGCCUGUGGUCUCUUGUGCUCACAGAUCUUUGCUCCUCUGGGUGUAAUUUCUAUUUCCUAGAAUUGGAAGAUGUUGAUGAUAGGAGAUAAGAUCUUAUAAUCAAGCCAGGAGUAUUCAAUGGCACCAUGAUUUUGGACUGCAUGUAGAUGAGAACUUGCUUGGAUUCAGCAUUCAUGUCUUUGGUAUACUCUGUGUUCUUGAACCUUGAAUAUGACUCCUUAGAGGAGAGGACCUUGAGGCUGGGGUCUGAGCCAGGACUGUCUCACCUUACAGUCAGCUCUCCCCAUCACACAACACUGACAGCAUCUUCUCUUUCACUCUGCUCUUGUCCCUGUCCGGCAUGUGCAUCAUUUUAAUACAUGCAUAAUCAUAUCACACUAUGUAUUUGAUUAUCACACUGCUAGAGACAAUGGACCCUUCCUACUGAAGACCUUGACAUAUUCAUAGUGUACAAAACAGUUAAUGUUUACAAUACUUCAGGCUUGGUUCCUCUUCCUACGAAACCUGCUUGGAGUUUGAAAACUUUAACUCUUGUUCCAGAACUGUGUGGGGCUGAUAGAAUUGAGAAGGUUUCAAAUGUAGAGGCAUCUGCUGUUUCCUUGACAAACAUCUCAUCUCAUAAUUCAAAUGACUUUAAGUUUUUGAGUGGUACACUUGUGAUAUACUAUGCAUACUAAGUUGCUUCAGUCAUGUCUGACCCUUUGCAACUCUAUAGACCAUAGCCCACCAGACUUCUCUGUCCAUGGGUUUCUCCAGGCAAGAAUACUGGAGUGGGUUGCUGUGACCUCCUCCAGGGGAUCUUCCUGACUCGGGGAUCAAACCCACAUAUCCUGUGUCUCCUACAUUGGCAGGCGGGUUCUUAUUACUAGCACCGCCUGGGAAGUCACUAUCAGUCAGUUCAGUUCAGUCGCUCAGUCGUAUCCGACUCUCUGUGACCCCGUGAAUCGCAGCACGCCAGGCCUCCCUGUCCAUCACCAACUCCCGGAGUUCACCCAGACUCACAUCCAUCGAGUCGGUGAUGCCAUCCAGCCAUCUCAUCCUCUGUCAUCCCCUUCUCCUCCUUCCCCCAAUCCCUCCCAGCAUCACAGUCUUUUCCAAUGAGUCAACUCUUUGCAUGAGGUGGCCAAAGUAUUGGAGUUUGACUUUCAUCUAAAUUUCAAAAACCCAUUUAUGUUUAUUAAUGAUAUUUAACACUGAGCUGAGUGCCAAAGAACUGAUACUUUUGAACUGUGUUGCUGGAGAAGACUCUUGAGAGUCACUUGAACUGCAAUGAGAUCAGAUCAGAUCAGUCAAUUCUAAAGGAAAUCAACCCUGAAUAUUUAUUGGAAGGACUGAU
ensembl:lncRNA